rnacentral:rRNA from 1 species
AUGACUAGUGGCACCUUUGAAUACAUCAGUGAGAAGGCCAAAGGAAAGAUACAAGGGUGGUCGGAGAAGCUUCUAGCAUGUGAGGGCAGAGAAACAUUGCUGAAAUCUGUUGUGCAAGCAAUUCCGACGUAUCCGAUCGGUACAUUUUUAUGCACCAAAAAGGUAUGUAAGAGUCUGGCUUCUCCUAUGGUGAAAUAUUUUUGGAGCAGCUCUCUGGAUAAGAAGUCAAUGCACUGGGUAUCCUGGCAAGAACUUGCAACACCAAAAUGUAAGGGAGUCAUGGGAUUCUGAGAUUUGCAUCUGUUUAAUCUUGCACUACAUGGAAAACAUGGGUGGCGUUUUUUGACAAAACCUGACUCUUUGUGUGCAAGAGUAUUGAAAUGUAGAUACUUCCCUGAUGUGGAUUUCAUGGAAGCUACAUGA